GAAUGCAUAUCUAACGAUCAAAGAAACAAUGAAGACAAAGCAAUGUUGAGCUUCAGCGGACACUGACUGUCAUGCACCAGGUCAAAUUACACGGAGUCUCUGGAGAUCAUGGAUGGAGCCUGGAGAACCACAGAAAAACUCUUUCCGCGUGGGGUCCAGGAGGGUUCCCUCUGGAACAUUUCUCAGGGAAUGUUCCUGUCAGCCACUCAGUCUCCUGAGUUCAGGUUCCCAUGACCAUAAUGGAUGCUCAUCCUUGGGUCACUCCUCCUUAGCAGAACACCAUCAUCUGUGGUAUGUAUGGAAAUGUGCAAUGAUUUUAGGCUUAGACAAGAUCAUAAUGUUUUAUCCAAUUUCUUGCAGGACUAAAGGAAGGAGAAGACUUGGGAUAAAAUGAAGACUACGAUCUCGGCUCAUCCCAGAGGGGAGCCCAAAAGCUAGAGCCCAGCGUGGCUGGUUCAACCCAGGCAGUCCUGGGUUGGAUUUUGCUUCCAGCAGUUCAUACCAGCAGAUUCCGAAGCCAACACAAAAUGUAAAGCAGUUGGAGAUAGGAGCAUUCAGAGCAGAAAAUAAACCCAUUCACAGUAGAGGGACAGCUUACAGUGGAAAUAGCCAGAACCAACUGUCAUCCUCCUGCCUGCUCCUCCAUCUCCAGUUCCCUGCUUCAGUAGGAAAAAGCCUCAGAAUGGACAGUGUAAGCCAAGUGGCUUACUUUCUCAGGUGAAACCCACCCAGGCCUAGCCUGGUGGCAAGAUGGCAAGAUUCAACAGUUUCCUUUCUCAAAAUCUUCACUCGAUGUCCAAGUUCUUCAAGGUAACAGUGCAUCUAGAGACCUACUCCAUGAGGCGGAACCAUGGCUGACCCUGCUCAGGUGGCCAAGAGCCUGGCCUUCAGGGGUCAGGAUGCUAUGGAGAAGAGGAGGCUGGAAGACUGCAAGAGUCAGUGAGGAUGGGUGACACACACGUGAAUUCAGAGACCACAGCACGCACAGGGCCUGUACAAGUCUAAACCAACGGGUCCCAGCACUGAGAGCAGAAAGUGGACAUGAUUUCUUAUUUCUAACUAAGAACUAGUUGAUGACUGCUUGCAAAGGAAAAUUUAGCUUUCUCCAGCGGGGUUUCACUAGGCAUAGAAGCCACACUUCAGGGCAGGCCCCAUGCCCAGCAGUAGAAGGCCAACAGAAAAUGAACUCAAUUGUAUUUUUGGAAAAAUUUCAUCUCAUAUUGGGCAUUAUUUUACUCUAUUGUUCUUUUGCAUGUACGUUAUGGUCGCACAUUUUGUGUUUUUAUUGUUGUAUGUGUCUUUCUCAUGCUUCUUUUUCUUUUUUGCAUGCUCUAAAGAGAGAGAAAAAGAAUGCAUGAAGUUGGAUAGGUGGGGAGCGGGUAGUGUCUGGGAGGAGAUGAGA